CAUUAUUCCAACCAGAUAAACUGGCCAGAAUAUAUAUAGAUUAAUAUUAUGAAGAGUUGUUUUUCGAAAAUUUGACGAAUUUAAAUUCACUUAUGGACAAAAUUCUUAAUGCCAUCGGAUAGGAUACCAAGCAUAUGAGUAAAGAGUUUCCUAGUAGAAUGGUCAACGGAUUUGAUAGAAGCAAUAAAACGACCUACUGUGCGUAAAGAACGUUCUUCAGAUGAAGACGUUAUUUGUAUAAAAUUUGGACUAAACUAAUUUAUAUUUGAUUCUUGAAUCGGGGCUUUUUAUUUGCAAUGUAGCUUGUCUGCAUAAUUGUAAUUGAAAGUUUUUAUUUGUAAUUGUAUGUUGAGUUCCUGUGGCUAUCAUGUCUGUCAAAUUUGUAUUAACUUACAAAUAAAGAUGUUUUUGUUGUCUUAUUUUAAUAAACAAUAUAUGAAAUUACAAUUUUUUAAAGAAUGAAGUUAUUGAUAAAUUGUUACAAUUAAAUUAACAACUUUGCCAUUAUGUCAAA